UAGGGUCGAAGUUUAAUAUUUAAGUCAAAAUCCAAUUUUAACGAAAAUAUAAAAUGUCGUCAAUUUUAAAUAAAAUUUUAAUUUGGGCCAAAAUUAAAAUUAUAGAAUAAAUCCAUUUGAAAUUCAAAUCUAAAUCCAUUUUUAAUAUCUAAAUUCAAAACAACUUUUGAAAACAUCAAUUUGACCCAAACUUAAAAUUAACAGGAGGGCCACCGAAAUUUGAAAAUUGCUCAGCAGCCCUCAGUUAUAAAAUUGCAAAAUGACCCCUAAUAUCAUAUUUGCAGGCGGGCCCCCACAAUUACAUUAAUUGCAGAG
rnacentral:lncRNA from 1 species